rnacentral:rRNA from 1 species
UAGGGAAUCUUCGGCAAUGGACGGAAGUCUGACCGAGCAACGCCGCGUGAGUGAAGAAGGUUUUCGGAUCGUAAAGCUCUGUUGUAAGAGAAGAACGAGUGUGAGAGUGGAAAGUUCACACUGUGACGGUAUCUUACCAGAAAGGGACGGCCAACUACGUGCCAGCAGCCGCGGUAAUACGUAGGUCCCGAGCGUUGUCCGGAUUUAUUGGGCGUAAAGCGAGCGCAGGCGGUUAGAUAAGUCUGAAGUUAAAGGCUGUGGCUUAACCAUAGUACGCUUUGGAAACUGUUUAACUUGAGUGCAGAAGGGGAGAGUGGAAUUCCAUGUGUAGCGGUGAAAUGCGUAGAUAUAUGGAGGAACACCGGUGGCGAAAGCGGCUCUCUGGUCUGUAACUGACGCUGAGGCUCGAAAGCGUGGGGAGCAAACAGGAUUAGAUACCCUGGUAGUCCACGCCGUAACGAUGAGUGCUAGGUGUUGGGUCCUUUCCGGGACUCAGUGCCGCAGCUAACGCAUUAAGCACUCCGCCUGGGGAGUACGACCGCAAGGUU